UACGGAGGGUGCGAGCGUUGUCCGGAAUCAUUGGGCGUAAAGGGCGCGUAGGUGGUGGGGUCAGUUUGUGGUGAAAGCGCGGGGCUCAACUCCGCGUCGGCCAUGAAUACUGCUUCACUUGAGCACUGUAGAGGCAGGCGGAAUUCCGGGAGUAGCGGUGGAAUGCGUAGAGAUCCGGAAGAACACCGGUGGCGAAGGCGGCCUGCUGGGCAGUAGCUGACACUGAGGCGCGACAGCGUGGGGAGCAAACAGG
rnacentral:rRNA from 1 species